rnacentral:rRNA from 1 species
UACGUAGGGUGCAAGCGUUGUCCGGAAUUAUUGGGCGUAAAGAGCUCGUAGGCGGUCUGUCGCGUCGGCUGUGAAUCCCGAGGCUCAACCUCGGGUCUGCAGUCGAUACGGGCAAACUAGAGUAUUGCAGGGAGACUGGAAUUCCUGGUGUAGCGGUGAAUGCGCAGAUAUCAGGAGGAACACCGGUGGCGAAGGCGGGUCUCUGGGCAGUAACUGACGCUGAGGAGCGAAAGCGUGGGAGCGAACAGG